rnacentral:rRNA from 1 species
UACGGAGGGUGCAAGCGUUAAUCGGAUUUAUUGGGCGUAAAGGGCGUGUAGGCGGAUUGGAAAGUUGACUGUGAAAUUUUCGGGCUCAACCCGGAACCUGCAUUCAAAACUUCCAACCUUGAGGAUAGACGGAGAAAACGGAAUUCCACAUGUAGCGGUGAAAUGCGUAGAUAUGUGGAAGAACACCUGUGGCGAAAAGCGGUUUUCUAGUUUACUCCUGACGCUGAGGCGCGGAGAGACAAGGGGUAGCGGAACAAGGAUUAGAUACCCCCCGUAGGUCC